rnacentral:rRNA from 1 species
UACGUAGGGUGCGAGCGUUGUCCGGAAUUACUGGGCGUAAAGAGCUCGUAGGUGGUUUGUCGCGUUGUUCGUGAAAACCGGGGGCUUAACCCUCGGCGUGCGGGCGAUACGGGCAGACUGGAGUACUGCAGGGGAGACUGGAAUUCCUGGUGUAGCGGUGGAAUGCGCAGAUAUCAGGAGGAACACCGGUGGCGAAGGCGGGUCUCUGGGCAGUAACUGACGCUGAGGAGCGAAAGCGUGGGGAG